rnacentral:rRNA from 1 species
UACGGGGGGGGCAAGCGUUGUUCGGAAUUACUGGGCGUAAAGGGCUCGUAGGCGGCCAACUAAGUCAGACGUGAAAUCCCUCGGCUUAACCGGGGAACUGCGUCUGAUACUGGAUGGCUUGAAUCCGGGAGAGGGAUGCGGAAUUCCAGGUGUAGCGGUGAAAUGCGUAGAUAUCUGGAGGAACACCGGUGGCGAAGGCGGCAUCCUGGACCGGCAUUGACGCUGAGGCACGAAAGCGUGGGGAGCAAACAGG